AACGAACGCUGGCGGCGGGCCUAACACAUGCAAGUCGAACGAACUCUUCGGGGUUAGUUGCGGACGGAAGAGUAACACGUGGGAACGUGCCUAUUGAUACUCUAUACCGCAGGGAAACAUAUGCGAAUCCCGAGUGUGCCAUUCGCGGGAAAGAUUUAUCGCCAUUAUAGCUGCCCGCGUCAGAUUGGCUACUUUGUGAGGUAACGGCGCACCAAGAGUACGGUGAGUAGGUGGUCUGAGAGGAUGACAAGGCACACUGGGACUGAGACACGGUCCAGACUGCUGCGGGAGGCGGGGGUGGGGAAUAAUGCGCAAUGGGCGAAACGCUGGCGGAGGCGUGCGGGGUGAAUGAUGAAGGUCUUAGGAUCGCUAUCGUCUUGGAACAGGGAGGAUAAUGACGGGACCCGGAGAAGAAGCCCCGGCUAAGUUCGUG
rnacentral:rRNA from 1 species